rnacentral:misc_RNA from 1 species
GCAAACUUGGUCAUUUAGAGGAAGUAAAAGUCGUAACAAGGUUUCCGUAGGUGAACCUGCGGAAGGAUCAUUACAGUAAUCGUCGGAGUGGCUCGCCGCUCAACGACAUUACCCUUGCAUUUUGUACCUCGUUUCUUUGGCGGGCUCGCCCGUCAGUGGACCAUUUCAACCUUCUUGAAGUAAUCUGCGUCAGAAAACAUAACAUUUACAACUUUCAACAACGGAUCUCUUGGUUCUGGCAUCGAUGAAGAACGCAGC